AUUGAACGCUGGCGGCAUGCCUUACACAUGCAAGUCGAACGGCAGCACGGGAGCAAUCCUGGUGGCGAGUGGCGAACGGGUGAGUAAUAUAUCGGAACGUGCCCAGUCGUGGGGGAUAACGCAGCGAAAGCUGUGCUAAUACCGCAUACGAUCUACGGAUGAAAGCGGGGGAUCGCAAGACCUCGCGCGAUUGGAGCGGCCGAUAUCAGAUUAGCUAGUUGGUGGGGUAAAGGCCCACCAAGGCGAAGAUCUGUAGCUGGUAUGAGAGGACGACCAGCCACACUGGAACUGAGACACGGUCCGGACUCCUACGGGAGGCAGCAGUGGGGAAUUUUGGACAAUGGGCGCGAGCCUGAUCCAGCAAUGCCGCGUGCAGGAUGAAGGCCUUCGGGUUGUAAACUGCUUUUGUACGGAACGAAACGGCUCCUUCUAAUACAAGGGGCUAAUGACGGUACCGUAAGAAUAAGCACCGGCUAACUCCGUGCCAGCCGCCGCUGUAACAC
rnacentral:rRNA from 1 species